UAGGGAAUCUUCGGCAAUGGGGGCAACCCUGACCGAGCAACGCCGCGUGAGUGAAGAAGGUUUUCGGAUCGUAAAGCUACUGUUGUAAGAGAAGAACGUGUGUGAGAGUGGAAAGUUCACACAGUGACGGUAACUUACCAGAAAGGGACGGCUAACUACGUGCCAG
rnacentral:rRNA from 1 species